UCCCGGGAGUACUAAGUAUCGCGCUACCAUCCCAGGAUCAAACCAGGUGCAUAGCUAUAGGUGCUUGUCCAAGUAUCCCGGGAGUACUAAGUAUCACGCUACCAUCCUAGGAUCAACCCGGGAUGACCAGGUGCAUAUAGCUUGUCCAAGUAUCCCGGGAGUACUAAGUAUCGCGCAAACAUCCCAGGAUCAACCCGGGAUGAUCAGGCGUAUAGCUAUAGGUGCUUGUCCAAGUAUCCCGGGAGUACUAAAUAUCACGCUACCAUCCCAGGAUCAACCCGGGUAUAUAGCCACAUGCUUGUCCAAGUAUCCCGGGAGUACUAAGUACCUCGCUAUACCAUCCCAGGAUCAACCCGGGAUGUAGCUAUAUAGGUGCGUAUCCCGGGAGUACUAAGAAUCGCGCUACCAUCCCAGGAUCAACCCGGUAUGACCAGGCGUAUAGCCACAUGCUUGUCCAAGUAUCCCGGGAGUACUAAGUAUCGCGCUACCAUCCCAGGAUCAACCCGGGAUGAUCAGGCGUAUAGCUAUAGGUGCUUGUCCAAGUAUCCCGGGAGUACUAAGUAUCACGCUACCAUCCUAGGAUCAACCCGGGAUGACCAGGUGCAUAUAGCUAUAGUCUAAGGGCCAGAUACUCAGAGUGGCAGCGGUUAUGCACGUGUUGUUCCAUAUGGAAAACCCACAGGCGAUACCACAACAAAUCUCUGAAUCUGCAAUAAAAGCUGCAGAUCGUUUUGUGGACUUCUGUUUGCAACAUGCUGCAUACCUGGGUGGAAGGGGAGAUAUCAUGGCUAUUUCAGAAGUUCAGAAAGGUUAUUGAACGUUGCAUGUAAUACGUAUUAAACUGAGGUUAAAUGCAAAUGCUUUAUUAUAUUAACACCUAUAAGGUGCUACAUUUCUAAACAUUAUAGUAGGUAACACGCCCACACAUGUGUAUGUGACUUCCUUUGGUAUCAUGACUAUGGAACUGUACAUAAACCCUUUUUAUUGAUACCUCGAAUACUUUAUAUCGCAUGCUUAUAACAGCGUUUGUAACUUUUUAUCUUUUAAAGCCUCUGCGCUCAGUGAUGGACAUCACUCGGAGGAUAAGGAACUAGUUAAAUACACAUUGCUAUUACCAGGGAGCACUCUCUACAUCAGCCCACUUCUGGCAGCUAAAAGGUUUAGAAACAAGGGAAACAAAGAAAGUGCCAUCAAUGCCAUUAACCUGUUAGAAAGGGAAGGUUUGGGAGAAGUUCUAACCACAAAAUCCAAGCGAGGCACAAGUUUUAAAUACAAGUUCGUGAAGAUCGCUCUACCAGAUCUGCAAGAGGUAGAGAAAAGGGCUUCAAAGCUUCUGUCAUUCCAAGUGUCCCUCAGUAGAUAUGCGGAAAGUCUUCAAGAGGAAGAAAUAACAUCUGGUAAUGAAAUGAAGAGAGAGGAGGCAUCAAGUGAUGCGGGUAACCGGACGCCCAGGAAAAGUCCAAGAAAAAGGAAGAUCUCAGCCAGCUCAAUAGGCACACCCACAAAGCAUCCAAUGAGGUCACAGGAACAAGAACAAGAGACACCAACAACUCCCGACAGAUAGAGUGCCACUGGGACAUCUUGCCAUGAACUUUGACUGUGCAGCAACAUCUACCCACUUUCAGUCUGCAAGUACAUUUAUCUUAAUUGUUGUGUUGAUAGUCUGUUAGUUGUAUAUACGCAUAAUUAUGUUGAUUCUUGUAAUAAAUUAUUGUGCUUGCACAAUACCACAUUAAUUAUACCAGGAGCAUCCCGGGAGACUUGGACAAGCACGUGGCUAUAUGCCUGAUCAUCCCGGGUUGAUCCUGGGAUGGUAGCGCGAUACUUAGUACUCCCGGGAUACUUGGACAAAC